GACGAACGCUGGCGGCGUGCCUAAUACAUGCAAGUUGAGCGCUGAAGGUUGGUACUUGUACCAACUGGAUGAGCAGCGAACGGGUGAGUAACGCGUGGGUAAUCUGCCUUUGAGCGGGGGACAACAUUUGGAAACGAAUGCUAAUACCGCAUAAAAACUUUAAACACAAGUUUUAAGUUUGAAAGAUGCAAUUGCAUCACUCAAAGAUGAUCCCGCGUUGUAUUAGCUAGUUGGUGAGGUAAACGCUCACCAAGGCGAAGAUACAUAGCCGACCUGAGAGGGGGAUCGGCCAACUUGGGAAUGAGACCAGGCCCAAACUCCUACGGGAGGGAGCCGUAGGGAAUCUUACGCAAAGGACGAAAGUCUGAACGAGCAACGCCGCGUGAGGGAAUAAGGUUCUCGGAUCGUAAAACUCCGUUGGUAGGGAAGAAAGUUGGUGAGAGUGGAAAGCUCAUCAAGUGACGGUAACUACUCAGAAAGGGACGGCUAACUACGUG
rnacentral:rRNA from 1 species